UGUCAGAAUUGAUUUUAUUUACAAUGUUAAAAAGUACAAGAUAGCAUGAAUGGUAUCAGGGGAUCAAACUGAAAUACUUCCAAACAUAUUUAUAACAAAGCAUCAACACAUGGAUGACAAUAAAGUAAGACAAGAUAACACAUGUGGGGUGCAGUCAGUUAUUUACAGUACUUAUGAACAUUGACAGGUUACAGAAACUCAGAUGACUCGAACAAAUUACUGGGAUUAAAUAAGCCUCCAGUAAUGUGCUGAUGUUCCUCUGCAAUGUCUGUGUUUGAAUUUUCACAGUCCUGAGAAGUAAACAGUUUUAUUUUUACUUUUGUAGCUAAACUGUGUUAACUAACAUGAGCUUUUACUUUCUGAAGAGCUGUCCUGUGUGUGAGCAGACACUUUAGAUUCAGUGAUAGACCACAGGCUCAUUUAUGCUCCCCUUCAUACCAAAAUAGAGCUGUAUGUUCAAAACAGUAGAACGCCAUAGCACACUCACUAAAAGGUCAAGCAACACAUCCACUAGAAGGCGCCUCUUGUACUAAAAAGUUACCCUAGACAAUAAGGAAAAACCAAAAGUUCAAACAAAAACAAACAUGGUGUUGAGGGAUGAGAAAUCAAUCAUGUAGAGGUCAACUGAGGCAAAAACAAAGGCAGCGUUGCUGAUUGUGGUGAUCUGUUUGGUCAUUAAUUACUGAAGAACAUGUGGAUGAAGAGUGAAGUGCCCUACAGCUUCCAGCAUUAAUGCAAAGUUUGGUACAGAGUCACAUGACUGAAGAAAAAUGACAGAAAUAAAGCCAAAUAAAAGGAGAGCACACAGAUGUCUCUGUCUGUACUUUAUAAAACACAUCUAUAUAAAAAAGAUUUUUUCCCUGUAGUGUAAAAUAAAUCAUUCACACAACAAUACAAACACAUCUGAAUUUGCCCACAUUAGCAAGACAGACCAGUAAGUGGAUGAUAAUGUGGAAUCAGUCAUCUAACUACUGAAUGAAGACAGAUAUCAGUUUUAGUGACUACUCCAAAACCAUCAGUUUUUAG